rnacentral:lncRNA from 1 species
GUUGAAGUUCUUUCUGAAAUAGCCACAGAUUAUUUUAUCUGUAGGUACAAAAAGAUGAAUGUAAGGAAAUAGGGAAGUGUUUUGCUAUAAAUCAUUACCUGCGUUAAUUACAAAUAAGGCUAAGAGUGCACAGUAUCAACUAUAUGAGGGCGUAUAUGCAUUUUUCCUGUUUAAGAAGAGCAUGUGGUAAAAUUUUGGGGUCUUGGGUUACUUAGAAUAUUAUACUAGUAUUUCUUUGUGCUUUGCUCAUUUCUAUCAUGAUCAAGUGAUUCUUUUUUUUUUUUUUUUCUGUCUCUCUUUUGGGUGCCACGAAUCAAACUUAGGGCCUUGUGCUUGCGGCAGGUGUUGCGCUGCUGAGCUACAUCCCUGGCCCAAUGCAGUGGUUCUUGGUAACUUGACUGUCUUCAAGAUGUCUCAGAUAAUGUCUGUGCAUCCUGUGGAAAGCUCUGAACACUCUGUCACUGAUCCGGAGCGGCCGCUCUCAUUUGGUGUUACCCUGGGGGAGCUUAGUCUACUGACUACAAAUGAGAAUUGGACUCCAUGCAUAUUAAAUGAAGCAGAAAAAAUUAUAUACAAGCUAAUCCGACUGGAUAGUCUCAGUGCUUACUGGAAUGUGAACUGCCGCCUGUCCUACCAGGGGUCCCGAGAACAGAUCUUGGAUCAACUGAAAAAUGAAAUUCUUACAAGUAGACAGAGACCUCCAAACCAUCAAUACAUUUUCCAGCCAAUAUCAGCCUCUGCAAAACUCUACAUGAAUCCUCAUGCAGAAGCAGAACUCAAAACUCCCAAAUUAGAUUGGAGCAUAGAAGUGCAGAAUAUUGCCAUUGAGCUGACCAAGCCCCAGUACUUAAGUAUGAUUGACCUUUUGGAAUCGUUGGAUUAUAUGGUUAGAAAUGUACCUUAUAGGAAAUAUAAACCUAAUUUACCACUUCAUACCAAUUGUAGGCAAUGGUGGAAGUAUGCCAUUGAUUCAGUUCUUGAAGUUCAUAUAAGAAGAUGUACACAGAUGUGGUCAUGGUGUAACAUAAAGAAGCAUAGAGAGUUACUCAAGAGUUAUAAAAUCGCUUACAAGAAUAAGCUAACUCAGACUAAACUCUCGGAAGAAAUCCAGAAACAAAUUCAGGACCUGGAGAAGACUUUAGAUGUUUUUAACAUAAUUUUAGCAAGGCAACAAGCACAAGUCGAGGUGAUUCGAUCUGGGCAGAAACUUAGGAAGAAAUCCACUGACACAGGGGAGAAACGGGGAGGCUGGUUUAGUGGGUUUUGGGGUAAGAAGGAGUCUAAGAAAAAAGGUGAAGAAUCAUUGAUUCCUGAAACUAUUGAUGAUCUUAUGACCCCUGAGGAGAAGGACAAACUAUUCACUGCUAUUGGUUACAGCAGGAGCAUGCAUAACUUGACUUUGCCCAAGAAGUAUGUUGCCUAUAUAAUGACCUUGAAGUUGGUAAGCACUUCUAUUGUAAUCAGAGAAAACAAAAAUAUUCCUGAAAUCCUAAAAAUCCAGAUCAUUGGCCUGGGCACCUGUUGGGAGCCGCGUCUGUGAUAGCUCGCCUUGCGCGGCGGACGUGCGGCCUGUGGUAAAGAGCAAAGCCUGAGGUAGAUUACCCCUCCCAUCGAAUAUGUUAGUUUCCUGCUUACCGCGUAAACAACCCGCUCAACAAUAUAGUCUGCCUGGCAACUGAUGAUGUUAGCCAAUCAGCUUGCCUUGCUUACUUUAACAUGAUUGGACACUGUACCCGUAUAUAUACCGGUGCCACCCCUGGGCGGAAGAAGAAGCCAGGUAGAAGCCUGGAAGUAGAAGCCCAGAAGGAGCCGCGGAGAGCGGACCGG